rnacentral:rRNA from 2 species
CGAAUCGCAUGGCCUUGCGCCGGCGAUGGUUCAUUCAAAUUUCUGCCCUAUCAACUUUCGAUGGUAGGAUAGUGGCCUACCAUGGUUUCUACGGGUAACGGGGAAUUAGGGUUCUAUUCCGGAGAGGGAGCCUGAGAAACGGCUACCACAUCCAAGGAAGGCAGCAGGCGCGCAAAUUACCCAAUCCCGACACGGGGAGGUAGUGACAAUAAAUACUGAUGGAGAGCUCUUUUGGGUUUUCUAGUUGGAAUGAGUACAAUUUAAAUUUCUUAACGAGGAACAAUUGGAGGGCAAGUCUGGUGCCAGCAGCCGCGGUAAUUCCAGCUCCAAUAGCGUAUAUUAAAGUUGUUGCAGUUAAAAAGCUCGUAGUUGAAACUCAGGCCUGGCUGGCCGGUCCGCCUCACCGCGAGCACUGGUUCGGCCGGGCUUUUUCCUUCUGGGGAGCCGCAUGCCCUUUACUGGGUGCGUUGGGGAACCAGGACUUUUACUUUGAAAAAAUUAGAGUGUUCAAAGCAGGCAUAUGCUCGGAUACAUUAGCAUGGAAUAAUAGAAUAGGACGUGUGGUUCUAUUUUGUUGGUUUCUAGGACCGCCGUAAUGAUUAAUAGGGAUAGUCGGGGGCAUCAGUAUUCAAUUGUCAGAGGUGAAAUUCUUGG